UUCAAGUACAACUAUAAAUUUCCGUGUCCAACUUUAAUCAUUCAUCUUAUUUAAAAAACUUUUAUAAUUAAUAUUUUUAUUAUUAUGAGAUGAUAAAAUAUGAAUAGUAUUUUAUAUGCGACUUAUGUUUUUAAUUUUUUAAAAAAAUUAAAUAAGAUGAACGGUCAAAGUUGUACACGGAAAAUUAUCUCUGUAUUUUAA
rfam:Oryza sativa Japonica Group DNA, chromosome 1, cultivar: Nipponbare, complete sequence.